GACGGGACCCGCACAAGCGGUGGAUGAUGUGGUUUAAUUCGAUGCAACGCGAAAACCUUACCCACCUUUGACAUGGCAGGAAUCCCGAAGAGAUUUGGGAGUGCUCGCAAGAGAACCGGAACACAGGUGCUGCAUGGCUGUCGUCAGCUCGUGUCGUGAGAUGUUGGGUUAAGUCCCGCAACGAGCGCAACCCUUGUCAUUAGUUGCUACGAAAGGGCACUCUAAUGAGACUGCCGGUGACAAACCGGAGGAAGGUGGGGAUGACGUCAAGUCCUCAUGGCCCUUAUGGGUAGGGCUUCACACGUCAUACAAUGGUCGGGACAGAGGGUCGCCAACCCGCGAGGGGGAGCCAAUCCCAGAAACCCGAUCGUAGUCCGGAUUGUAGUCUGCAACUCGACUACAUGAAGUCGGAAUCGCUAGUAAUCGCGGAUCAGCAUGUCGCGGUGAAUACGUUCCCGGGUCUU
rnacentral:rRNA from 1 species